rnacentral:lncRNA from 1 species
CGUUGGAAUGGGUUGCCAGCUGGUGCUUAAAAGCCGAUUUAUCCGUCGACGGAAACAAUGGAAAAACAUAUCCUACGAUCAUAGUUCUCGUUUUACCUAUUUUGUUCAUAAUGUGCACGCAUUUGAGAUCGCCCACCAUAACACUUCAACCCGUCCACCCCUAAUCCACCCGUAACCUCUGCAACAAAUCAAUAAACUGUAUAAAUGUCUUAUGGAUUUAAGGUCAUUUUCACUGAAUGCAAGCUGAUUGAAGUACGGGUUGGGACGCGCUAGGGUAAAACAUCCUUAC